UGGGGAAUAUUGGGCAAUGGGCGAAAGCCUGACCCAGCAACGCCGCGUGAAGUAUGAAGGCCUUCGGGUUGUAAACUUCUUUGAUCAGGGAAGAAAAAAUGUAUAGUAACUAUAUACAAAAGAGACGGUACCUCAAGAAAAAGCCCCGGCUAACUACGUGCCAGCAGCCGCGGUAAUACGUAGGGGGCUAGCGUUGUCCGGAAUCACUGGGCGUAAAGGGUUCGCAGGCGGAAUAACAAGUCAGAUGUGAAAGGCAUGGGCUCAACCCAUGUAAGCAUUUGAAACUGUAAUUCUUGAGAAGUGGAGAGGUAAGUGGAAUUCCUAGUGUAGCGGUGAAAUGCGUAGAUAUUAGGAGGAAUACCUGUGGCGAAGGCGACUUACUGGACACAAAUCUGACGCUGAGGAACGAAAGCGUGGGUAGCAAACAGG
rnacentral:rRNA from 1 species